rnacentral:piRNA from 1 species
UUGAGGCGUGUAGGGGUGGGAAGG